CUCUUCUGGAAAUCGUCUCUGCUGGUGUUUUGUGAGUGAGCCCAGGAUAGGGAGUCACGUUUGCCUCCAGAGGCAGAAAACAGCAUGGCUGAGAAAAGAGUAAGAAUCUUUCUGACUUGAAAGUCAUAAAUAACAUGAAAUUUCGUUUCCAAGGAAACUGCGGAUUUCAGUUUGAUAGAGGCUACACCAUAAAGAAGCUCAGUGCUCCUUUUGGGCUUGGCACCAAAGAAUGAAGAUAAUUUCAAAAGAGCGUGCAAGAGCCUGGCUAUAUGGGAACUGUUGAUCAUGGCCUGAACCUCUGAUUGACCACCUGAGGCAAACAAUGAGUCAGCUGUGGGAGCACAGGUGAAGGCAAUUCACUUGUGCUACUGGAAGGGGUGGAGCCUGGCUCCACCUGUCCUAGAUCCCAUUUAUGUGCUGACUGCCACUGAGGAAGGAUCUCUUUUUGGAGAUUGCUCCUUGUGGAGUUUACUGUAAGCCUACAACACUGGUGAGCAUUUUUCAUUUAUUAUUUUUCCACCAUGAUAGUCUUGCUUAGCCUAAGCUCUAUACGCCUAUUGAUUAUACACUAGCUGACUUCAUUGAAUCAGCAGCCCAGGUGGAACCUAAUUUCAAAUGAGACAGUGGUAUUGUAUAACACAGAUGCUACAACAUAAAUUUAUGUGAAUAAAAAUUACAGUAAGGCAAUCGUGUGAGUAUUGUUUCUGCUAUAAUUUUAAAUGAAGACCUGCCAUUCUUAGUAAUUUUAUUGGUAUUUGAUAUAGCUAUAAAUGAGACAGUUAAAGAGCUGGAGGCAUUCUUGCUAAAUUACUGUCAGCUGUGAAGCAUGUGGUAAUGCUUGUGAAACUGCUCCCUUUAGUGAUUUUGAGACUUGCUUCUGUGUGAACAAAGUAUAUUUUAUCCCGUAAGAAAAAUGGGACAUACCUACUACUUAUAACACUGUAAGAGGAUGUAUGCAUAAUGAUGGGUAGAACACAAUUCAAUAAUUUCUUAAUUGUGAGGAGGAAACAUGUGAAAGAAAAUGGGAACAGUAAACGGAUAUUCUUAUCAAUCUAUGUUGCAGAUUUCUUUUAAAUUAUAAGGCAGUUCUUUACCUCAGAGAAAUGUCCAUCUUAUUGGAACCAGAAGGUCAGCUUAUUCAUUUAUAGUCAUACUGUCUCAGAGCUUACUAAGGAUAAUUUCAGUGAUAAAAAUGGCUUCUGCACCUCAGAAUUACUCUAUCCUUAGCUACGAAUACUUUAGCUUUUUCUAAAGCAGUUACUGAAGUGCUGCUGUAAUUAUAUAUAUAUGU